rnacentral:rRNA from 1 species
AGAGUUUGAUCCUGGCUCAGAACGAACGCUGGCGGCGUGUUUUAGGUUAUGCAAGUCGAACGAUCCUAAUUCGAACUGAUUCUUCGGAUGAAGUUAGGACCAAGGAUAGUGGCGGACGGGUGAGUAACACGUGGACAAUCUGCCCUACGGUGGGGAAUAACAUCCUGAAAGGGGUGCUAAUACCGCACGAUGUCUUGGAGGCGCAGGCUUCUAAGAUGAAAGGUGGCCUCUGAUUCAAGCUAUCGCCGAAGGAUGAGUCCGCGGUCUAUUAGCUAGUUGGUAAGGUAAUGGCUUACCAAGGCGACGAUAGAUAGGCGACCUGAGAGGGUGGUCGCCCUCACUGGGACUGAGAUAAGGCCCAGUCCCCUACGGGAGGCGCAGCCAAGAAUCUUGCGCAAUGGGCGAAAGCCUGACGCAGCGACGCCGCGUGGGUGAUGAAGGCUUGCGAGUCGUAAAGCCCUGUUGGGUGGGAGGAAUAUAUGCCCUGGUUAAUACCCAGGGUGUUUGACAGUACCACCCCAGAAAGCCCCGGCUAACUCCGUGCCAGCAGCCGCGGUAAUACGGAGGGGGCAAGCGUUGUUCGGAUUUACUGGGCAUAAAGGGCACGCAGGCGGUUUGGUAAGUUGGGUGUGAAAGUCCUCGGCUCAACCGAGGAAGCGCGCUCAAAACUGCCUUACUAGAGUUCGGGAGAGGAGAGUGGAAUGGCCGGUGUAGGGGUGAAAUCCGUAGAUAUCGGCUGGAACACCAUUGGCGAAGGCGACUCUCUGGCCCAGAACUGACGCUCAGGUGCGAAAGCUAGGGGAGCGAACGGGAUUAGAGACCCCGGUAGUCCUAGCCGUAAACGUUGGGCACUAGGUGUAGGGAGUAUUCAACGCUCUCUGUGCCGAAGUUAACGCAUAAGUGCCCCGCCUGGGGACUACGGUCGCAAGGCUUAAACUCAAAGGAAUUGACGGGGGCCCGCACAAGCGGUGGAGCAUGUGGUUUAAUUCGAUACAACGCGAAAAACCUUACCAGGGCUUGACAGCUAUCUGACACCGGUGUGAAAGCAUCGUUCCUCUUCCCGAGGCAGAUAGAACAGGUGGUGCAUGGCUGUCGUCAGCUCGUGUCGUGAGAUGUUGGGUUAAGUCCCGCAACGAGCGCAACCCCUAUCUUUAGUUGCCAGCGGAUAAUGCCGGGGACUCUAGAGAAACUGCCGGUGACAAACCGGAGGAAGGUGGGGACGACGUCAAGUCAUCAUGCCCCUUACGCCCUGGGCUACACACGUGCUACAAUGGCUGUUACAAAGGGACGCAAUACCGCGAGGUGGAGCAAAUCCCCAAAAGUCAGCCUCAGUUAGGAUUGCAGGCUGCAAUUCGCCUGCAUGAAUGUGGAAUCGCUAGUAAUCGCGGAUCAGCAUGCCGCGGUGAAUACGUUCUCGGGCCUUGUACACACCGCCCGUCACGUCAUCCGAGUCGAGGGUACCCGAAGUCAUUGACCCGACCCACUUCGGUGGGAGGGAGGUGCCCAAGGUAUGUUCGGUAAGGAGGACGAAGUCGUAACAAGGUA